UCUCCUCAGCGUCUCUCUCUACCUCUCCCUCUCUCUCUCCCUCUGCCUCUCCGUUGCUCUUCUCUGCUCCCUCUCUCACCGCCGCUCCACCAACCAUGCCUCCACCGCUCCUUCUCACGGUAGCCGACAAUUGGAUCACCAAUUGCGAGCUCUCUCUCUCUCUCUCUGUGCAGUUCGCAUAUUGACCCAAAAUCUAGAAGAUGAGUGUAGAUCUGGUCGCCUCGAAUACCCAUGGGAAUCUCGAUGAGCAGAUUACACAGCUCAUGCAGUGCAAACCGUUGUCCGAGCCUGAGGUACCUCUCUCUCUCUCUCUCUCUCUCUCUCAAAGUCUCCAUUUUGAAAGCUCUCUCUUUCUUUCCACUUUCCAAGAAAAUUUCCAGAAUCAUCCUCACACCCCUCUCUGUUUCUUCCUCUUCCAGUUUUCUUUGUGUGUAUAUAUAUAUCUAUAUAUAUAAAUCAAAACCCAUUAAAAUCUAAUGGCUCGUUGCCCCCCAUGAAUUGUUGGUUUGGGAAGUUGUUAUGGCUUUUCAAUUUGUUUGUUUGUUUUUUUUUUCUUUUUUUUUCUUGCCUUCAAACUUUUUGAUAAAUGUCUCUUAGGUUUCUCUAAAAUCUAAUCUACUUACCUUAGCAGUGCUUGUGUCCUUGCAUUGAAUUGUUAUGGUAAUGUGGCUCAAGUUGAGGGUUAGGAUUAAAUGUUUUACUAAACUAGACUAUUUUUUGAAUGGUCAUUACUCUGGUAUGCCUUCUUAUUUCUGCUCCAUAUAAUUAUUUUGUACUUGGUUUGAGAAUAAAAUGAGAAAAGUUGAAUGAUGGCCUUUUGCCAAUUGUUGGAAGGUCAAGUUAAACUUGACAACAUAGGUUAUGUGUUGGUGAAGGAGGGUAGUGCAGAAACUUCCGUUGAAGGUGUAUUUGCAGCUAGAGAUGUACAGGACCAUGAAUGGAGGCAAGCCGUAAUUGCAGCUGGUUCAGGAUGCAUUGCUGCUUUAUCAGUUGAGUGAUAUCUUACCAGCAACAAUCUCCUUGUUGAAUUUCACCAGCCUAAGACUGAAGAGGUUAAGAAGGAACUCAUAGACAAACAUGUACAAGAGGGUUUUGACAUCUCUAUCUUUUGGAUGUUAUUUGCUUGUGAAGACCCAUAAGGAUAUUUUUGGCAUGGAAUUGUAGAUAUUCCCUUUUUGUCUACGGAGGACAUGGUUUUUGUACUACUUUUUAUUCUGUAUGAAAUUAUUAUUUUCAGUUGGAAUAUACUUGGUUUGUAUAAAAUUUGACAUUAAAAGUUAUUCUCUUUUUUGGAUGGUUGUAAGUGAAAUACGUGUUGUGGAA